rnacentral:rRNA from 2 species
UGGCUCAGAACGAACGCUGGCGGCAGGCCUAACACAUGCAAGUCGAGCGCCGUAGCAAUACGGAGCGGCAGACGGGAGAGUAACACGUGGGAACGUACCCUUUGGUUCGGAACAACCCAGGGAAACUUGGGCUAAUACCGGAUAAGCCCUUACGGGGAAAGAUUCAUCGCCGAAGGAUCGGCCCGCGUCUGAUUAGCUAGUUGGUGAGGUAAUGGCUCACCAAGGCGAGGAUAAGUAGCUGGUCUGAGAGGAUGAUCAGCCACACUGGGACUUUCUCUCGGCCCAGGGACCUACGGGAGGC